GCAUUGAACAAGCCAAUUACAUUGUCGUGCGUAACCACAUUCUGGCACGUUGGCGGUCUAAUGUAACUGUUUGGCUCACAAAAGAACAUGCUUUGGAAUCCAUACGAGCUGAACAUAAAAAUCUUGUGCAUUCUGCUUUCUCCUUUCUGCUACAUCACGGAUAUAUCAAUUUUGGUGUAGCUCCAGCGAUAAAAGAAGUGAAAUUUAAGCCACCUGAAGGGGCCUCAAAGGGGAAUGUGAUCGUUAUUGGUGCGGGGCUAUCGGGUUUAGUUGCUGCGAGGCAAUUGAUUUCUUUAGGACUUAAAGUUGUGGUUCUUGAAGGAAGGGGUAGACCUGGUGGUAGAGUGCGAUCCAAGAAAAUGACAGGUAGACAAAAUGGGGUUGUUGCUGCUGCAGAUUUAGGUGGAAGUGUGUUAACU
rnacentral:misc_RNA from 1 species